AGAAUCAACGCUGGCGGCGUGCCUAACACAUGCAAGUCGCACGAGAAAGGGACUUCGGUCCUGAGUACAGUGGCGCACGGGUGAGUAACACGUGACUUAUCUACCCUCGAGUGGGGAAUAACCUAGAGAAAUCUGGGCUAAUACCGCAUAACACUUACGAGUCAAAGCAGCAAUGCGCUUGAGGAGGAGGUCGCGGCCGAUUAGUUAGUUGGCGGGGUAAUGGCCCACCAAGACGAUGAUCGGUA
rnacentral:rRNA from 1 species